CCUUUUUUAUCAUGGAAAAUUAAACUACCUAAUAUGCUCAGAUUUCAAAUAGUCAAAGCAUUUGAGUUACAUGGUCUAGUUAUAUUGCUUAACAAGAGGCUCUCAAGAGCCUGAAUCGCUCACGUGUAUUAAAAGAGGAGAAAUUAUUUUAAAUGUAAGCAAACUUGAUAAAAAAAAUUGUGUAAAAUUGUCUUUCAAGGGCAAUAACUUCUGAUUGGGUCAAUUGACAAUUUUGGUUCUUAAAAGUUUUUGUAGGGCUUACUUUGCUGAACAUUAUUGCUG
rnacentral:lncRNA from 1 species